rnacentral:misc_RNA from 1 species
AUUAGAAACAGUGAUGAACACCCAUUUUCCAACUUCCUCACAAGAAUGGAAAAUAGAAAAACUGAAUGGAAAAAAGUAAAGAAAAAACUAUUUUCUAUAACUAACAUUGUUUAAAAUUUAGUGAAUUAAAAAGGUGAGAAUUUCAGAGUUUUUAAAAUCUCUAAAAGCCUUACCUUCUUUAAAAGCAUUAAUACAAUGAUGCAAGAAUCGAAAUUUUACUAUAAUUAUCAUUAAAUUAAGACAAUGCCACUCUUCAGACCAAAUUUGUUCUUUCCUGGCAUCACACUAAGCAAAAGAAAGAAAGAAAAUAUAUAUAAUAUAUAUACUAUGCUGUUUGUCCAAAAUG